UCCUCCCUCUUUCUUCGUGCUUAACACAUGCAAGUCGAACGGAAAGGCCCUGCUUUUGUGGGGUGCUCGAGUGGCAAACGGGUGAGUAACACGUGAGUAACCUGCCCUUGACUUUGGGAUAACUUCAGGAAACUGGGGCUAAUACCGGAUAGGAGCUCCUGCUGCAUGGUGGGGGUUGGAAAGUUUCGGCGGUUGGGGAUGGACUCGCGGCUUAUCAGCUUGUUGGUGGGGUAGUGGCUUACCAAGGCUUUGACGGGUAGCCGGCCUGAGAGGGUGACCGGCCACAUUGGGACUGAGAUACGGCCCAGACUCCUACGGGAGGCAGCAGUGGGGAAUAUUGCACAAUGGGCGGAAGCCUGAUGCAGCAACGCCGCGUGCGGGAUGACGGCCUUCGGGUUGUAAACCGCUUUCGCCUGUGACGAAGCGUGAGUGACGGUAAUGGGUAAAGAAGCACCGGCUAACUACGUG
rnacentral:rRNA from 1 species